AGACAUCUUAAUGAAAGCCCUCCUAAGCUCUUGGACUGGGUGCGGGAUGUAGGUGGCGUAAGCUGAGGACUUCCAGCGACCCAGUGUUUUAAUGACAUGAACGGGAACGUUUUGGCUAGAGGCUGUGGAGGCCGCUCCAAUUCUGAAGGAGUGCCCCGAGUAGCUACUAGGGUUCAGACCAAGCCUGGUGAUAAGCAUGAAUUUCGCUGUGGUGAGAAUGGUAUCGUGCAACAUUAGUAGAGGUCUUGCGGGUUGUGUUGGUUUCGUGGCUAAGAAAACGUCUAGUGCUUUUACUGGGCACCAAUUGUUACCCGUGGGGUAGUAGUUUAUGUGAACUGGUUCCCCCAUCUGACUUGUCUUAGUCUUAGAUAGAGACAGGACGUAGUAGUCUGUGUGUUUCGUGAGAUGUGACGUGAGG